GGGUUGUCAUGCCAAUGGCACUGCCCGGUAGCUAAAUGCGGAAGAGAUAAGUGCUGAAAGCAUCUAAGCACGAAACUUGCCCCGAGAUGAGUUCUCCCUGAGACUUUAAGUCUCCUGAAGGAACGUUGAAGACGACGACGUUGAUAGGUCGGGUGUGUAAGCGCAGCGAUGCGUUGAGCUAACCGAUACUAAUGAACCGUGAGGCUUAACCUU
rnacentral:rRNA from 1 species